CCUGAUGCAGCGACGCCGCGUGAGGGAUGACGGCCUUCGGGUUGUAAACCUCUUUCAGCAGGGACGAAGCGCAAGUGACGGUACCUGCAGAAGAAGCACCGGCUAACUACGUGCCAGCAGCCGCGGUAAUACGUAGGGUGCGAGCGUUGUCCGGAAUUAUUGGGCGUAAAGAGCUCGUAGGCGGUUUGUCGCGUCGAACGUGAAAACUUGGGGCUUAACUCCAAGCUUGCGGUCGAUACGGGCAGACUUGAGUUCGGCAGGGGAGACUGGAAUUCCUGGUGUAGCGGUGAAAUGCGUAGAUAUCAGGAGGAACACCGGUGGCGAAGGCGGGUCUCUGGGCCGAUACUGACGCUGAGGAGCGAAAGCGUGGGGAGCGAACAGGAUUAGAUACCCUGGUAGUCCACGCCGUAAACGGUGGGUGCUAGGUGUGGGGGGCUUCCACGCCCUCUGUGCCGCAGCUAACGCAUUAAGCACCCCGCCUGGGGAGUACGGCCGCAAGGCGAAAACUC
rnacentral:rRNA from 1 species